rnacentral:rRNA from 1 species
CCUACGGGCGGCAGCAGUAGGGAAUAUUGCUCAAUGGGGGAAACCCUGAAGCAGCAACGCCGCGUGGAGGAUGAAGGUUUUAGGAUUGUAAACUUCUUUUGUUAGAGAAGAUUAUGACGGUAUCUAACGAAUAAGCACCGGCUAACUCCGUGCCAGCAGCCGCGGUAAUACGGAGGGUGCAAGCGUUACUCGGAAUCACUGGGCGUAAAGAGUGCGUAGGCGGGGUAAUAAGUCAGAUGUGAAAUCCUGUAGCUUAACUACAGAACUGCAUUUGAUACUGUUACUCUGGAGUGUGGGAGAGGUAGGUGGAAUUCUUGGUGUAGGGGUGAAAUGCGUAGAGAUCAAGAGGAAUACUCAUUGCGAAGACGGCCUGCUGGAAAAUUACUGACGCUGAUGCACGAAAGCGUGGGGAGCAAACAGGAUUAGAUACCCCUGUAGUC